rnacentral:sRNA from 1 species
AGGACAGCUUGAUGGUAUACGUGCCGACGAGGACGGCGCUGGUGCUGGCGCCCGAGGAGGAGACCGAGGGAUAAUGUAGUUGUAUGCGUUCUCCAUGCGAUGUAACAAUGGCUGGAGGGACUGGUUCUAAUAGUUAAUUGUCAGAUUAGUUAGUUAACUAUGGAAAUUGUUCUCAUAAGUUAUAUAGAUCUCAGAGCUGUUUUCGUGGUAAGUUAUGUAAUCUUUGCUGGCU